CUAAGGCGAGGCCGACAGGCGUAGUCGAUGGACAACCAGUUGAUAUUCUGGUACCGCGUUAUGACCGCCCAUGCUGAAGUCAUUGUGCUAACCAAUUUGCUCACGCCACUCUUAAGCCUUCGGGUUUUUGGGUGUGUGUGGGUCUUGGGGCCCCGGUGAUUGUAGGCAAGCGUGUUAACAGGGGUGACGCAGACAGGUAGCUGCAGUGCGCCGAUGGUUGUGCGUAUUUAAGGUUGUGGCCCGUCUUCCAGGUAAAUCCGGGGGACAUUGUGGGUGAGAACUGAUGAGGGACACACGCGUGUGUGGACUUGUGGUGAUCCUAAGCUGCCGAGAAAAGCCUCGACGUGAGGGCAUAACGCGCCCGUACCCUAAACCGACUCAGGUGGUCAGGUAGAGUAUACCGAGGCGUUCGAGUGAAUCGUGGUUAAGGAACUCGGCAAAAUUCCUCCGUAACUUCGGGAUAAGGAGGACCCCGUGACUUCCCAAUGCUUUGCGUGUUGGUGGGGUUGUGGGGUCGCAGAGAAUAGGGAGAAGCGACUGUUUAUCAAAAACACAGGUGCGUGCGAAGCCGUAAGGCGAUGUAUACGCACUGACGCCUGCCCGGUGCUGGAAGGUUAAGAGGAACUGUUAACAUUCUUUGUGGGUGUGAAGCGGUGAAUUUAAGCCCCAGUAAACGGCGGUGGUAACUAUAACCAUCCUAAGGUAGCGAAAUUCCUUGUCGGGUAAGUUCCGACCUGCACGAAUGGCGUAACGACUUCUCCGCUGUCUCAACCGCGAACUCGGUGAAAUUGCAGUACGAGUAAAGAUGCUCGUUUCGCGCAGAAGGACGGAAAGACCCCGGGACCUUUACUAUAGCUUGGUAUUGGUGUUCGCUUGGACUUGUGUAGGAUAGGUGGGAGACUGUGAAGCUGCCGCGCCAGCGGUGGUGGAGUCGUCGUUGAAAUACCAUUCUGGUUCAAGCGGUCACCUUAACCUUGGCCCGUGAUCCGGGUUGGGGACAGUGCCUGGUGGGUAGUUUAACUGGGGCGGUUGCCUCCUAAAAUGUAACGGAGGCGCUCAAAGGUUCCCUCAGCCUGGUUGGUAAUCAGGUGGCGAGUGCAAGUGUACAAGGGAGCUUGACUGUGAGACCGACGGGUCGAGCAGGUGCGAAAGCAGGAACUAGUGAUCCGGCCAUGGCACGUGGGUGCGUGGUCGCUCAACGGAUAAAAGGUACCCCGGGGAUAACAGGCUGAUCUUGCCCAAGAGUCCAUAUCGACGGCAUGGUUUGGCACCUCGAUGUCGGCUCGUCGCAUCCUGGGGCUGGAGUCGGUCCCAAGGGUUGGGCUGUUCGCCCAUUAAAGCGGUACGCGAGCUGGGUUCAGAACGUCGUGAGACAGUUCGGUCCCUAUCCUCUGUGCGCGCAGGAAAUUUGAGAAGGGCCGUCCCUAGUACGAGAGGACCGGGAUGGACGAACCUCUGGUGUGCCAGUUGUACCGCCAGGUGCAUGGCUGGUUAGCUACGUUCGGAAGGGAUAACCGCUGAAAGCAUCUAAGCGGGAAGCCUGCUUCAAGAUGAGGUUUCCACGCCCCCCAGUGGGGUGAGAGGCCCCCGCCAGACUAGCGGGUUGAUAGGCCAGAGGUGGAAGCACAGCAAUGUGCUCGUGAGCCGACUGGUACUAAUGGGCCAACACUAAACAAC
rnacentral:rRNA from 1 species